rnacentral:tRNA from 1 species
GAGGGUAUAGCUCAGUGGUACAGUGCAUGCUUAGCAUGCAUGAGGUCCGGUGUUCAAACCCCCGCACCUCCA